UUCGGUUAUAAGAUCCCUCGAAGAUGACGAGGUUAAUAGGUUCGAGGUGGAAGCGUGGUGACACGUGGAGCUGACGAAUACUAAUCGAUCGAAGACUUAAUCAA
rnacentral:rRNA from 1 species